rnacentral:lncRNA from 1 species
GGGGCUCCGCUCGGCGGGCGGGGCGGUGCCCGGCCAGGUGAGGGCGGUGGCGGCGGCGGCGGCUGCGGGCGGGGGACGGAGCUGUGAGGGGGCGGGCUGGGUGCUUGCGGGGCUUCUGUGGGCUGUUAAUAAACAGGGGGGCUGCGGGGCUUGUUGAGGUGCUGGGGAGGUGUUGCCUGCAAAAGGGGCUUGCGUCUUGCCUCGGUGGCGUGUGGCUCUCUGCCGUGGAUGGCUUUACCCAUUCUCAGCCUUGCCCUCCUCCUUUCCCAGGGGAGCCUGGUGCUUUCUUCCACCAUCCCGCAGUGGUCCCUCCGGUGAGCAGCGGCUGUUGGCGGUGGCAGGACCAGGUCCCUGACCUCAGCUGCCUGCCCUUCCCUUUGCUGGAGCUCAUCCCCUCCGAGACCAGCUGGCAGAGCUUCCCUCUGUUCCCCCAUGGUUGCCUUGCUCGUCCUGACGUGUCCGCAUUGGUGAGAAGAUUGGGUAUACCCUGUAGAAGACCUCAAACUGGAUCUCAAACCCCGUACAUCUAGGAUCUUGAGAACUGGAAAGAAGCAAGGACCAUUUGGCCAAGUCGGAGUUGGAGGUGGCUGUUGCAGGUGACAUCCAAGACCAGUUCCAGAUGCACACAAAAAUGGAUUUGCCUUUGUGGCCCCAGUGGCAGUGUGAACCACAAAGCUGUGCUUCAGAUAUGGCGUGUGCCCAGCUUUGCCCUUAGAGCGACUGGGUGUCAGUUUGAAAG